UGGCUCUCGCAUCGAUGAAGAACGCAGCGAAAUGCGAUACGUAAUGUGAAUUGCAGAAUUCAGUGAAUCAUCGAAUCUUUGAACGCACCUUGCACUCUCUGGUAUUCCGGAGAGUACGCCUGUUCGAGUAUCGUGAAAUUCUCAAAGUUAACAACAUUGUUUAUUAACUUUGGUUAUGGACUUUGCAGCGUUAACAGCAGCUGGUCUUAAAAUCAUUAGCUGGAAUGGGGUUCACUCAUUUAGUGUGAUAAUAAUCAUUGACCGCUAAAGGUGGCUUCUGAAUCUAGCUUUACACAACAAUACUCUUGAAUUUGAUCUCGAAUCAGGUGGGACUACCCGCUGA
rnacentral:misc_RNA from 1 species